UACGUAGGGUGCAAGCGUUGUCCGGAAUUAUUGGGCGUAAAGAGCUCGUAGGCGGUUUGUCGCGUCGAAUGUGAAAACCCGGGGCUCAACUCCGGGCCUGCAUUCGAUACGGGCAGACUAGAGUUCGGUAGGGGAGACUGGAACUCCUGGUGUAGCGGUGAAAUGCGCAGAUAUCAGGAGGAACACCGGUGGCGAAGGCGGGUCUCUGGGCCGAUACUGACGCUGAGGAGCGAAAGCGUGGGGAGCGAACAGG
rnacentral:rRNA from 1 species